rnacentral:sRNA from 1 species
GUUCUUAUUCGAUUUGGAUGAUAUUUUGAAAAAUGACUUCUACGAUUGCCACAAACAUCUGAACCAAGUAUGAUCAAUCCGUCUAUGUUAAGAGUUGCAUGAAAAAUAUUCUUUUCGAGAACUAGUCGGUUGACUGCAGCAUUUGGAACAGACCACACGACCAGACAUAAGUUUUUCGGUCAACAUGAUUAGCCAGCUUUGUGAGAACCCAGGGAAAAGCGCAUUGGGUGGCGGCGAAAAGAAUUCUGCGAUAUCUUAACUAACUUAUUUAAAAGAUGCAAAUGAAAGUUUUAUUGGAUUUAGUGGCGCUGAUUGGGGAAGCGAUUUAGAGACUCGUCAAUCAAUCACAAUAUAUGUUUUUAAACAAUCAGGAGAUGCGCUUUCGUGGAGCUAUCGCAAUCAGCCUACUGUUAUAUUGUCCACUAUGGAAGCAGAAUACGUGGCUUUAUCGUCUGCUACUCAAGAAGCUUUGUGGUGGCGUGGAUUACGAUCAGAGAUGCAUGAAAAAGUGAGCACAAUUCCAAUUUAUUGUGAAAAUGUUGUUGUUGUUGUUGUUGUAGCAGUGUGUUGUACACUGAGGCGGCAGCCCUUGCCUAUGAAGAACUCGAUCAGGGGUGCAGUACUUCUAGCGAAAAGGAACAUUCACCUCGUAGCAAACACAUUGACAUCCGCCAUCACUUUGUGCGAGAAAAGCUUGACGAACCAUGUCGGAAUGCAGCAGCAGGUACCUGUUGUCCUCAUUAAGGCUCUCCCAAGAAUUAAAAUGGCGGAAACAUAGGAGGCUCUUGGAAUUCAAUAAUUCUCGAUUACGGGGGUGUGUUGAAAUCAAGUAAUCUUUGAAUUGUGUGUUUGUUUGUUUGUUUUAUUAAUUUGCAUUUAAUUUUUUAUCCUUAAUAAAAAUCUACUGAUGAAUAUUAUACUAUUUUAUAUACAAAUAAAAGUUUUUGGUCUCAAAAUUAGUAUUAAAUUUUAAAUUCCCUAGAAAGAAAUUUUCCAUAAAAAUUCCAUUUUAAUACUUAAAUUUUGCUUCAUCUAUACUAAAGGUGAGGAGGAGCCCCACAUUAUUUAACUACCCGGAGGCACCUCUACACGCGAUAACUAUAAGCACCACAGAGGUUGGAACUUUGACCUCCAAACUGUAUCGUUUUCCCAAAAGCUUAGCUGCGAACUACCGGGAGUGUCCACUGGUUGCACAUAGUGGAGUGAUCCAUACGGAGUAGCUGCAACUACAGUCGCGGACAAUCAGUGGUAUCGAGUGAAGAGUCUCAGUGGGAAACCGGACGGCACUGACUCUUGCGUAAAUACCGAGUACCAAUGAUGCCCGGAACGAGCUUGCUCAUCUAUCAUGUGGCAACAACAACAACCUCGAGGCACAAAGGAACAUUUUUUUCUCUUAAAGCUCCUAAAAGCUCUAAUUUAUGCCAAAAAUUUGACAAAAUACGCUUAAGAGAGAUGUUCGUAAAUUGUUAUAGACAAUCUUUUUUGGCCCCUUAUAUUUAUCAUAAAAUCCGUGGUGGUUCUAUAAAUUUGUAUACUUUCA